ACAUGUCUCUGCUAUUUCGUUAAUGUGAUCAUGUAGCACUCUAGUUAUUGUAAUAAGAGAUUGGGAGGUAUUGAAGAUACCCAUCCAUGGUGUGAGCUUGAAGAAAUUCUCCAGGGUGAAUAUGCUUCUAGAGGUGGUUAAGAUACUCAUUGUACCUGUUGUGAGUACAAAAUUAAUAUAUGUCUUUUCUAUGAUAUUCUAAGCUCACAAAAAUAUAUGUCUUUUCUAUAA